UACAGAGGUCCCGAGCGUUUAGGCGGAAUCACUGGGCUUAAAGCGUGUGUAGGUGGAUCGUUAAGUACCUUGUGAAAUCCCACGGCUUAACCGUGGAACUGCUUGGUAUACUGGCGGUCUUGAGCCAGCUAGGGGCUACCGGAACAAAUGGUGGAGCGGUGAAAUGCGUAGAUAUCAGGAGGAACACCUGUGGUGUAGACAGCUUACUGGACCACUUCUGACGCUGAGACACGAAAGCGUGGGUAGCAAACAGG
rnacentral:rRNA from 1 species